AUUGAACGCUGGCGGCAGGCCUAACACAUGCAAGUCGAGCGAGCGGCGGACGGGUGAGUAAUGUAUGGGGACUGCCCGAUAGAGGGGGAUAACUACUGGAAACGGUGGCUAAUCCCGCAUACUAUCGGAUAACCCAUAUGGGAUUAGCUAGUAGGUGGGGUAAAGGAGCACCUAGGCGACGAUGUCUAGCUGGUCUGAGAGGAUGAUCGGGAACACUGGGAGUGAGAGUCGCCCCAACAUCCUACGGAGUCAGCAGUGGGGAAUCUUGGACAAGGGGCGCAAGCCUGAAGCAGCCAUGCCGCGUGUAUGAAGAAGGCCGUAGGGUUGUAAAGUACUUUCAGUGGGGAGGCGUUACCCGCAGAAGAAGCACCGGCUAACUCCGUGCCAGCAGCCGCGGUAAUUC
rnacentral:rRNA from 1 species